AUUGAACGCUGGCGGCAUGCUUUACACAUGCAAGUCGAACGGCAGCACGGGGGCAACCCUGGUGGCGAGUGGCGAACGGGUGAGUAAUGCAUCGGAACGUGCCCUGGCGUGGGGGAUAACACAUCGAAAGAUGUGCUAAUACCGCAUACGACCUGAGGGUGAAAGCGGGGGACCGUAAGGCCUCGAGCGCUAGGAGCGGCCGACGUCUGAUUAGCUAGUUGGUGGGGUAAAGGCCUACCAAGGCGACUAUCAGUAGCUGGUCUGAGAGGACGACCAGGCACACUGGGACUGAGACACGGCCCAGACUCCUACGGGAGGCAGCAGUGGGGAAUUUUGGACAAUGGGGGCAACCCUGAUCCAGCCAUGCCGCGUGCGGGAAGAAGGCCUUCGGGUUGUAAACCGCUUUUGGCAGGAACGAAACGGUGCGGGCGAAUACCCUGUGCUAAUGACGGUACCUGCAGAAUAAGAACCGGCUAACUACGAGCCAGCAGCCGCGGUAACAC
rnacentral:rRNA from 1 species